GACGAACGCUGGCGGCGUGCUUAACACAUGCAAGUCGAGCGGUAAGGCCCUUUCGGGGUACACGAGCGGCGAACGGGUGAGUAACACGUGGGUGACCUGCCUCUAGCUCUGGGAUAAGCCUGGGAAGCUGGGUCUAAUACCGAAUAAUUCAUUUCCUCUCAUGGGGAAAUGUUAAAAGACGGCAUAUCGCUGUCACUACAGGAUGGGCCCGCGGCGCAUUAGCUAGNGGUGAGGUAACGGCUCACCAAGGCAACGAUGCGUAGCCGACCUGAGAGGGUGAUCGGCCACACUGGGACUGAGACACGGCCCAGACUCCUACGGGAGGCAGCAGUGGGGAAUCUUGCGCAAUGGGCGAAAGCCUGACGCAGCGACGCCGCGUGAGGGAUGACGGCCUGU
rnacentral:rRNA from 1 species